GAGUUUGAUUCUGGCUCAGAGUGAACGCUGGCGGCGUGCUUAACACAUGCAAGUCGCACGAGAACGCUUCAGCUUGCUGAGGCUAGUAAAGUGGCGCACGGGUGAGUAACGCGUGGGUAACCCACCUCCGAAUUGGGGAUAACAUUGCGAAAGCGACGCUAAUACCGAAUAAUAUCCUGGCAGCUUCGGUUGCCUGGAUCAAAGGUGGCCUCUACAUGUAAGCUACUGUUUGGAGACGGGCCCGCGUCCCAUUAGCUUGUUGGUGAGGUAAUGGCUUACCAAGGCGACGAUGGGUAGCUGGUCUGAGAGGAUGAUCAGCCACACUGGAACUGACACACGGUCCAGACUCCUACGGGAGGCAGCAGUGAGGAAUCUUGCGCAAUGGGGGAAACCCUGACGCAGCGACGCCGCGUGAGUGAUGAAGGCUUUCGGGUCGUAAAGCUCUGUCAAGUGGGAAGAACCCACGUGAUGCUAAUAUCAUCACGUGCUGACGGUACCACUGAAGGAAGCACCGGCUAACUCCGUGCCAGCAGCCGCGGUAAUACGGGGGGUGCAAGCGUUACUCGGAAUUACUGGGCGUAAAGAGCGCGUAGCGGUUUCCUAAGUCAGUGUGAAAGCCCGGGGCUUAACCCCGGAAGUGCAUUUGAUACUGGG
rnacentral:rRNA from 1 species